AUAUUCAAAUCAACCGAUUCUGUGCUGAUUCCAGCUGACAUAUAGAUGCGACUAUUCCUAUACGACGAUUUUAUCAAGAACUUGCGAUCGUAUGGUUAUGUAUAUAUAAGCGGUAUACAUACACUCCAUGUUGGUUUCAAAUUGACGCAGUUUAUCCAUUUUGGCCUGGCUGUCCAGAAUUGCUUUUUACCAUCACUCACGUGGUUUUGGGGUUGUUAAAGCCGGGCUUCCUCCCGAUAGCUGAGACCCGGUGUUACACAGGGGGGUUUUGCAGCAAGCAGACGUACCUGUCCCAGUGGACGGACAAAGCUGAAACCAGGCACAGGACGGCAUUCAUAUCAUAAGCCUACCUGUAGCCCCACAACCUUCGCUGUUACAAAGGUCAGUUUCAUUACAGCAGCGCUCACACGUGACAAUGUUGGACCUUACUUUCGGGACAGAUUUCUUACUGGGAGAACUGCAUACCUACCACAACAGACAUA